UACAGAGGGUGCGAGCGUUAAUCGGAAUUACUGGGCGUAAAGCGUGCGUAGACGGUUAUUUAAGUCGGGUGUGAAAGCCCCGGGCUCAACCUGGGAAUUGCAUUCGAGACUGAAUAGCUAGGGUACGGUAGAGGGAAGCGGAAUUUCCGGUGUAGCGGUGAAAUGCGUAGAUAUCGGAAGGAACACCAGUGGCGAAAGCGGCUUCCUGGUCCAGCACCGACGUUCAGGCACGAAAGCGUGGGGAGCAAACAGG
rnacentral:rRNA from 1 species